UUUCUGUUCUGGUUUACUUUUUUAGAGACACUAGAAUACUGAGGCCUUUGAGGGUUAAUUAAUAAAGCCAUCCAGUGGUGCACCAGCAAGAAUUACUCAUCAUACAGCAGAGUUUAUUGGAUCAAUGGAAAUUAAACCCAGGCUUUAAAUCAUCCAAAUUUAAAUUUACAACUAUUCACUUACAAAUUGUAUUCACUUUAUAAAAUAGAAACCACGUGAAUAUGUUUUUUGAUAAUGACCCAGGUCCAGGAAUGUGAUACUUUUUACAUUUUUUAUGGGAAAUAAAAGUUCAGUCACAAUAAAAUAGAAACCUAUAAAAUAGAAACCACUAAUAAGUAACAGAUCAAGUGAAUAUGUGUUAUAUUUUUAAAUUCUUUGAUAAUGACCCAGGUCCAGGAAUAUACUUUUUACAUUUUUAAUGGGAAAUAAAAAUUCAGUCACAAUUGUAAAAAAUUUUUGUUUCAAGUAAUUGUUCAUUGAAAGUAGUUGUUCACAGAUGCCCAAGCUUUUUUCGUGCAAUUUGUUUUAUCGCUUUUCAUUGCCAUAUCACAUUCAUACCAUACCCAACCUGCAAAAUUGUGUGGAUCAGUGUUUUUCUUAUCAUGUUUCUCAAAAAAAUAAAUCUUUACUAAUGCUUCAGCCAGUUAUUUGUUAUGAUCAUUUACUAAAUAUUCAAAGAUAGCUCUGCUAAGACAUCCUGACUGAAUAUAUAUUGCCACCAAAGUGUAUUUAUACCAUUGCCUGGACGAUCAUGCACCACCUCAGUCUUACUGUUAAGAACACAAAUAUUAAUCUUUCACCCAAUCUCCACAGGAAAAGAUUCUUUAAACUCAUUUAAAUACCGAUUUUGUAACUGAGAGUACGCAAUGUCUGGUGGAUCUGAUUCAUCUAGUAUAAUACUAAUAUCCAAUUAAUAGGUUUUGGUUAAAACUUGCAAUGUUACCUGGGCUUAAACUCUUGAAGUAAGUUUGGUCGGAUUUAUGUGAAUUCUCGUGUUUAUUUCUUGAAUAACUGGCAGGUGAUCUGAUAUUGAGUCUGCUGUUAUAAGUGCUGCUUUAAUGUGUGAAUUGUCAACUUUAGUCCAGAUGUGAUCUCUAUUGCUGUUGCACGUGUGUCUGUGAUUCUAGUUGGUCUAUUUAUAAUUGACUGAUAGCAGUUGAUCAUGCAUUUUCUCAAUAAAAUCAGACGUGUGUUGGUUGUU